GAAAUCCAGUACGAAAACUUUACAGAUUUUGUUACCAACUGACAAAGAAGGAGAGAGAAAGAAGAGAGAGAGAGAAAGAAGAGAGAGAGAGAAAAAGAGGUAGAGAGAGAGAGAGUGAAGGUGGAGUGAAGUUUUUCUCAGAAGAUAGCUAUGGCGUCUUCAACAAGCGAGCAGAAGAAACCUGUGGUUCACGUAGAGUUCACUAAAGGCUUCAAUGGUUUCGAUAAGGUCAUUCUUCGCCAAAGUCGUGGCAUCUCUGCUGAGAUUUACCUAUAUGGCGCUCAUGUGACUUCUUGGAGGAAUGAGCUUGGAGAGGAGUUGCUUUUUGUGAGUAACAAGGCUAUGUUUAAGCCCCCAAGAGCAAUUCGUGGAGGCAUACCAUUAUGUUUCCCUCAGUUCAGCAAUUUUGGAUCCCUUGAGGCUCAUGGAUUUGCGAGGAACAGAGUUUGGAUUGUUGAUCCGGAGCCACCACCACUUCCAACAAGCUCACCUAACAAGGCUUCUGUUGAUUUGCUGCUGAAACCCUCUGAAGAUGAUCUGAAGAUUUGGUCUCACAGUUUUGAGUUUCGUCUGAGAAUAACCUUGAGUCCUGGAGGAGAUCUGACGCUGACGUCACGAAUUAGAAACAUCGAUUCAAAACCGUUCAGCUUUACAUUUGCUUAUCACACCUAUUUCUCUGUUUCAGAUAUCAGUGAAGUCCGGGUAGAAGGAUUGGAGACUUUGGAUUACCUCGAUAACAUGAAAAACAGGGAGCGCUUUACUGAACAAGGAGAUGCCGUCACUUUUGAAGGAGAGAUUGACAAGAUAUAUCUUAGCACGCCCACUAAGAUUGCAAUCCUGGAUCAUGAGAGGAAAAGGACAUUUGUGCUUCGUAAAGAUGGACUACCAGAUGCUGUGGUAUGGAAUCCUUGGGACAAGAAGGCUAAAGCCAUGGCUGAUUUUGGAGAUGAUGAAUACAAACAUAUGCUGUGUGUGGAAGCUGCUGCAAUUGAAAAGCCAAUCACGCUCAAGCCAGGCGAGGAGUGGAGAGGCAGGCAGGAACUAUCUGCUGUUGGAUCUAGUUACUGUAGUGGGCAGCUUGAUCCUCGGAAGGUUCUAAUGGGAGGCUGAAGCUUUUACUGUUGUCAUUAACAUCCUGUACAGGUUCUUCCCCGAAAUCUAUCUCCCUUUAGUCGUGCAGAUUGGCUAAUCACAUUUAGAUGUGUCUAUGUGGUGCUCUUUGCAUAAUGAAUUUGGAGCAUUGAGGUUGGAUUCAUGCAAGUUACUUCAUCAAGUCUUUCUUUUCCUGGUUUUCCUACAAACGGGUAUAUGGCGGAUUAUUGAGUUGAAAACUUGGUCGAAUAAUGUUCGUAACUGGGUGACUAUUUUUGGUGGCAUGUCAAAGCGGAACGCAUGUGCAGACUACUAGAGUCAAUACACCACUAACUGUGGUUAUAAAACUUGCAUCAUGUAAUAUCUUGCUUUCCCUCUUUGACAUAAAUUUUGAAAGCAUGGAUCUUGAGGCAUAUAAAUUUCUUUUGACAA